CCUACGGGUGGCAGCAGUGGGGAAUAUUGCACAAUGGGCGCAAGCCUGAUGCAGCCAUGCCGCGUGUGUGAAGAAGGCCUUCGGGUUGUAAAGCACUUUCAGCGGGGAGGAAGGCGUUAAGGUUAAUAACCCUGUCGAUUGACGUUACCCGCAGAAGAAGCACCGGCUAACUCCGUGCCAGCAGCCGCGGUAAUACGGAGGGUGCAAGCGUUAAUCGGAAUUACUGGGCGUAAAGCGCACGCAGGCGGUCUGUCAAGUCGGAUGUGAAAUCCCCGGGCUCAACCUGGGAACUGCAUUCGAAACUGGCAGGCUAGAGUCUUGUAGAGGGGGGUAGAAUUCCAGGUGUAGCGGUGAAAUGCGUAGAGAUCUGGAGGAAUACCGGUGGCGAAGGCGGCCCCCUGGACAAAGACUGACGCUCAGGUGCGAAAGCGUGGGGAGCAAACAGGAUUAGAUACCCGGGUAGUC
rnacentral:rRNA from 1 species